GCUGUUUCUUCUUCUUUAGUGGUUCUCCUAGUGCUCCAGGCUUUGUGACUCCAGGAGGCCUGUACGUGUGGGUCACAGGGGUCAUAAUGGCUUGACCAUGGUGCAGCCCAUUCAGAGGACCUUACAGGAAGCAGGCACACAGUAAGGAGACGUGCAGAGCCCUCCCCAGGAUUCUCUCCGCUGCCUAAGUCCAGAGAUCUGCUGGGGGAUGGUGUGAGCCCAAAGAAGCCGAUUUCCUUCUUGAAGGGGGUGAGAAGAAGGGAGACUGUGACUUGACCAAGCCAAUCGGCAAACUACCUUCCCUCCCAACAGAAGUUGAUUUGUUCAGGAGGGGGCAUGUGACAAAAGCUGGGCCACUCAGAGCCCAUCUAAGGACUUCACUGAAAUGCUGACAUAAAGCAGCCACUUGUGCCACAGGGGGAAAGCCAGCCUCAAAUGAAACUGUCUCACAAAGAAAUAGAGAUGAAUGACUUGUAGAGAACUGGAAACAGAAACAAAAUGAAACUUGCAGAGAAAAUAUUGCAAGUAAAUGUUGAACCUCUGGAUCGAACCAUGCCUGAGUCCCUCCUGGCUCUGACUUUUCAGUUAGAUCUCCAAGAGGACCCUCCUGCCUCUGCUUCUCUUCCUCCCCUGAAGUCAAUUUUGCAGUGUGCUGGUCAGCCUCAUCCAGCCCCUCUUUUCUGGGAACUGCUCUAACUCGAUGGCUGGAUUGACUGGCCAAGAGACAGACAUCAGGGUGAGCUGGAUCAUCAGACAGUCUCUCCUAGGAAUGUGAAAUACGAAUUCAGAGAGGCUGGCAGCCCAUUGUUCACGGGAAUGCAGAAGCUGUGAGGCUGAGAAACCCCUUUCCAUCCAGAGGGAAAGAAGGGUCCAGUUUCCUCUGAAGUUUGCAAGGACACAUGGAAGGUCAGCAGAAACUUGGCCAUCUCAGUGUCCUGGUGGGUGAUUUUUACGAGGAUUUCUCAUCACAGAGGAUGGGAACCCAAAGGAGAAUGGCCGCCAUUGGAGCCUUUCCUGUCCCUCCACUGCCCAGAACAACUGAACUCUGUGUCAGUUGGGCUGCAAGUAAAGAAAACUCAACUAAUGGAGGCCUCAUUGAACAGGAGUUCAUUUUACUCACGUAACAAACCUAUGUGGUCCCAGGAUUGUCUCACGGCCCAGUAAAGGCAAAGCAUGGCGUUAGCAAGUCUGAGAUGUUCUUGAAUUUCCCCCCAUUGCUGCAAGAUGGCCCCUACAGCUCCAAACAUCACAUCCUCAAUGGUGAAUAAAGCUGAUCUCCAACUGGGAAGAACUUCUGUCUCCUGGUGUGGUGAAGGCUGUUGGAGCAUCUGCAGGAGCAUCCAAACCCUGUGCUAUUGGGGUAGUCCAUGCCCUUCAAGCCAGUCAUGGCUUUCCUGUUUCCUCUGUCAAAUACUGGCUAAGGAUAGGUCUGUGAUGCAAUUCUGGCCAGUGAGACAUGAUGGAAGAGCUGCUGGGUGAAAUUCUGGGAAAAGUUCCCUUACUCUUUAAAAGAUGGAUCCAGGAGAAGAGAGUCUCUUUUGCUGGGUGUUGUCAUAUCUGGAGGUGAUGCCUGGAACUGUGGCAGCUGUCUUGUGAUUAUGAGGGAAGCUGGCCUGAAAACAGACUGGCCCACUGAAGAGGAGGGCAGCAUGGAAUGUGGAAUAAACCUGGGUCCCUGUUGGCUUCCUGCGGCCCUGAUCUAACCAGCCCUGAGCUGUCCUACCUCUGCACUGCUUGGCACAGGAGACACAUCUUGAUUGUUUAAGCCCCUUUGAGUUGGGUUUUCUGUUCCUUGCAGCUGACAGCACUCUAACCAAUCCACACAUUUCCCUCUGCUCGAUUUCCUGCUCCAGAGAGACAGGCACAGACCAGUACCGGGCAGCCCCACUCUGGGGAAAAACAACAGUGCUUAUUGUUUGCCGGCACAGUGGGAGCUCUGCCUCCUGGCACAGUGGGAGCUCUGCCUCCUGUGGCAGGCUGGCCAUUCCAAAACCACACUGCCUGCCACUGCCAUAAAGAGGCCAGGACUGUGUUCAAAACCCCAGGCAGCAGGAGGAGUGGUUUGUGGGAGGUGUUGUGGUAGUGCAUAAAGGAAGGUCAUUUCCUGACCCUCAGAACCCACACUGCCCUCAGCCCCACACAGCCCUACCCAGCCCAGCAUCGCCCCCAGUGCCCCUGGAGACAAUAAUGGCAGCCACCCACUGGCUGCUCCUGUGCGGGCAGGGCAGGAAAGCUGGUGGUUAAGUGCUGGAGAACCCCCAGGCCCUGGGGCUUGGCCGGAAAGGAUUUCUGUAGAGACAGCGUGGACAUUCUGUCCUCUGCAGGCCGCCUGGUACAGGAUGAAAACAGGCCGGCUCAGUACUUUUUUGGCAACCGAUUAUAUAGAUUUGCAUCCACAUGAGCUCCCUCUUGCAAUGACCCAGACCCCCACGAGGGCUCUCCCCACAGUCAU
rnacentral:lncRNA from 1 species